UCGGGAAUUUUGGGCAAUGGGGGAAACCCUGACCCAGCAACGCCGCGUGAAGGAUGAAGUAUUUCGGUAUGUAAACUUCGAAAGAAUAGGAAGAAUAAAUGACGGUACUAUUUAUAAGGUCCGGCUAACUACGUGCCAGCAGCCGCGGUAAUACGUAGGGACCAAGCGUUGUUCGGAUUUACUGGGCGUAAAGGGCGCGUAGGCGGCAUGACAAGUCACUUGUGAAAUCUCUGGGCUUAACCCAGAACGGCCAAGUGAUACUGUCGCGCUAGAGUGCAGAAGGGGCAAUCGGAAUUCUUGGUGUAGCGGUGAAAUGCGUAGAUAUCUGGAGGAACACCGGUGGCGAAGGCGGCGUCCUGGACCAAUACUGACACUGAGGAGCGAAAGCCAGGGGAGCAAACGGGAUUAGAUACCCCCGUAGUCCCUGAGCGGGCUGGCAAGGCGCAU
rnacentral:rRNA from 1 species